GAUCAUGGCUCAGAACGAACGCUGGCGGCAUGGAUUAGGCAUGCAAGUCGAACGAAGCAGCAAUGCUUAGUGGCGCAAGGGUGAGGAACACGUGAGUGACCUACCCGCAAGUUUGGAACAGCUCCUGGAAACGGGAAUUAAUACCGGAUGUGAUCAAUGAGCUGCAUGGUUUAUUGAUUAAAGCAGUAAUGCGCUUGCGGAUGGGCUCGCGUCCCAUUAGCUAGUUGGUGAGGUAACGGCCCACCAAGGCCAUGAUGGGUAGCUGGUCUGAGAGGACGACCAGCCACACUGGGACUGAGAACUGCCCAGACUCCUACGGGAGGCUGCAGUCGAGAAUUUUGGGCAAUGGACGAAAGUCUGACCCAGCAAUGCCGCGUGCGGGAUGAAGGUCUUCGGAUUGUAAACCGCUGUUUGGAGGGACGAAAAUUGACGGUACUUCCAGAGGAAGCCACGGCUAACUACGUGCCAGCCGCCGC
rnacentral:rRNA from 1 species